GUGAGGAAUAUUGGUCAAUGGGCGGGAGCCUGAACCAGCCAAGUCGCGUGAAGGAAGAAGGAUCUAUGGUUCGUAAACUUCUUUUGCAGGGGAAUAAAGUGCGGGACGUGUCCUGUUUUGUAUGUACCCUGAGAAUAAGGAUCGGCUAACUCCGUGCCAGCAGCCGCGGUAAUACGGAGGAUCCGAGCGUUAUCCGGAUUUAUUGGGUUUAAAGGGUGCGUAGGUGGUUUGAUAAGUCAGCGGUGAAAGUUUGCAGCUUAACUGUAAAAAUGCCGUUGAAACUGUCGGACUUGAGUGUAAAUGAGGUGGGCGGAAUGCGUGGUGUAGCGGUGAAAUGCAUAGAUAUCACGCAGAACUCCGAUUGCGAAGGCAGCUUACUAAGCUACAACUGACACUGAAGCACGAAAGCGUGGGGAUCAAACAGGAUUAGAUACCCCUGUAGUCC
rnacentral:rRNA from 1 species